rnacentral:lncRNA from 1 species
CAACAAUCACAGAGAGACAGUCCACCACCUCUACCCUCUUAACUCUUCCUUAGAAAUCCUACUGUCUGCAGCUGGGAAUGAAUGGAAUGAAGGUCAAGGAUGAAGAUCUCACUCUGUUACCCAGGGUGGAGUGCAGGGGCAUGAACACGGAUCACUGCAGCUUCGACUUCCUGGCUCAAGCAAUCCUUCCACUUCCUGGCUCAAGCAAUCCUUCCACCUCAGCCUCCUAGGUACUGGGA